GGAAAGCGCCGCCCUCGCUAUAAGGUCGCCGCGCCGCCUAAAGGGUCUACGGCCUGUGCAAAGGAGACCCACCACCUCCUUGCUGACUGAAGAGAGCCCUCUGCUCCUUGGAGCACUCUUUCAGUAGAUGGGAAAUCAAAUUCCUCUUCCUGCUCAAACUGGAAAGAGCAGCAGCCUGACCUGACUGCGGUGAGAGUUCAGUUACUGGGAGUGGGCCUGGGUCUCCUGCUGUCUAACCCCAAACUCUGCUGUUAUUAAGGCUUCCUUUGCUCUCUGGGUGGAAUUGAGUGGCUGGAGCUUUACAGAAAGUACCUGCAAACCGGUGGAGCCAGAUUUCUAAAGUGUGGUUUGUGGCUCAACCCCUCCCCUUGUCCCAGCUAAAAUUAUCUCCAGCUUCAGAAGAGCUUUGCCUCACAUCUGAGAGCAUAAAGGGCUUCCAGUGCUGCCUGACGCUUGGCAGCUCUCGUGGCCCAAAAGGCAAGACUCCAGGAUCAGGGAACAGGUGAAGAAUUGCUUUGCCUCUGCCAUCAGACAGCUGUGUCCCUCAGCAGCCUGGACUGUCACAGGCCAAGUCCUGCACUGCUGCUUCAUCCCAGGGGCUCCAAAACCUGUAAACAGUCCCACAGAGGAGGUGAAACCAGGACAUGGGACAUGCUUGGUCUUCCAGUUCCCUCUGAUGAGUGUUCUUGGUCUGUGUUUGCGGGGGGAACUCUGCCCCAGAGAGGUUUCACUGGCUGGACUGUGUGUUUGAUGUGAGUGGGGUUAUCUCUGUGUCCCCAGGGCAGCAGGGGGGACACCCUGCAACCCUGUGCUCCCCAAGGGCCUUGCCAAUGCUCACUGGCUUCCUCUGGGAGAGAGGGAAGGGGGGUUAUGGAGGAGUGCAAGGGAGAGCAGGUUCAAUGUGAGCAUGAAACCUGUCUGGGUGGGGAAAUCUCGUACCAAGUCUGCUGCUUAUUCAGGUGACUUGGCCAUGGCCUCAGGUUGCACCAGGGGAGGUUUAGAUUGGAGCUGAGGAAGAACUUCUUCCCUGAGAGGGUUGUCAGCCCCUGUCCCAGGCUGCCCAGGGAGGUGGAGGAGUUCCCCAUCCCCAGAGCUAUUGCAAAGCUGUGGAGCUGAGGUGCUGAGGGCCAUGGGUUAGUGGUGGGCUGGGCAGGGUGAG